UAAAUACGGGCGAGAGACCGAUNGCGAACAAGUACCGCGAGGGAAAGAUGAAAAGGACUUUGAAAAGAGAGUCAAAGAGUGCUUGAAAUUGUCGGGAGGGAAGCGGAUGGGGGCCGCCUAUGCNCCUUGGUCGGAUGCGGAACGGCGCGAGCCGGUCCGCCGAUCGGCUCGGGGCGUGGACCGGCGCCGAUUGCGGGGGCGUCCAAAGCCUCGGGCCCUCGACACGCCCGAGGAGACNUCGCCCUCGCGAUCGUGGACACAGCGCGCGCCGUCACGGCGUGCCUCGGCAACCGCUCGCUCAUGGCNCCGGCCUGCGGGCUCCCCAUUCGNNCCGUCUUGAAACACGGACCANGGAAUNUGACAUGUNUGCCAGUCAACNGGCCANUAAACNCGUAAGGCGCAUGGAAUCUGACUUGCGGGAUCCCCCGAGGGUUGCACCG
rnacentral:rRNA from 1 species